GACGAACCGUGCAAACGUUGUUCGGAAUCACUGGGCUUAAAGGGCGCGUAGGCGGGUCUCCCAGUCUGUGGUGAAAGCCCCCGGCUUAACCGGGGAAGUGCCGUGGAUACUGGAGACCUCGAGGAGGGUAGGGGCAUCUGGAACAGUAGGUGGAGCGGUGAAAUGCGUUGAUAUCUACUGGAACUCCGGUGGGGAAGGCGAGGUGCUGGACCCUUUCUGACGCUGAGGCGCGAAAGCCAGGGGAGCAAAGCGGG
rnacentral:rRNA from 1 species